UACGUAGGGCGCAAGCGUUGUCCGGAAUUAUUGGGCGUAAAGAGCUCGUAGGCGGUUUGUCGCGUCUGUCGUGAAAGCUUGGGGCUUAACCCCAAGUCUGCGGUGGAUACGGGCAGACUAGAGGCAGGUAGGGGAGAACGGAAUUCCCGGUGUAGCGGUGAAAUGCGCAGAUAUCGGGAGGAACACCGGUGGCGAAGGCGGUUCUCUGGGCCUGUACUGACGCUGAGGAGCGAAAGCUAGGGGAGCAAACGGG
rnacentral:rRNA from 1 species